CUGAUAUUCACCGCACGGGUCUCGCAAGGAAGCAUGUUAGAGGCACUCUGACAAAGGAAGCGAUCACGACACCCAUGUGCCACUAUGCGGUGUCCCAACAGCCGAAGUAGGAAGAAGCUGGAGUUUGCGCCUGGAUGCCAUAGCAAACGUCCUCAGUUUUUCAGGUGGUGCUAGUGGUACCUGCCGCUGUCUCAGCUUGCUGUGGAGAUACAUUUAUAUUUCUGCAGCCAAAUGAAAAGAUGCCCUCUGUUGCCUAUCAAGACAAAAGGGAGCUUUUGGAGCCUGGCAACGUCUCUUCUUCUGUCUGCGUUUUGACCAAUGUAGACACUUCUUCCUGAAAUUCACGUGCAUCGUUGAACUGAGGUUGUUGGAUGUAACGACGUAUUGAAUUGGGCAUUUUACACGCUUCAACGAACAAUCUUGCCGUGCUGCUUUGGCAUUUCUGGCAACACGUGUGCAGUAUGAAGCCCAUGACAAGGUCAACCUCCGUGGAGCAAAUAUGCUGCGGAAAAAAGACGACGAUUAAC